rnacentral:rRNA from 1 species
GUAGGGUGCGAGCGUUAAUCGGAAUUACUGGGCGUAAAGCGAGCGCAGACGGUUAAUUAAGUCAGAUGUGAAAUCCCCGAGCUCAACUUGGGACGUGCAUUUGAAACUGGUUAACUAGAGUGUGUCAGAGGGAGGUAGAAUUCCACGUGUAGCAGUGAAAUGCGUAGAGAUGUGGAGGAAUACCGAUGGCGAAGGCAGCCUCCUGGGAUAACACUGACGUUCAUGCUCGAAAGCGUGGGUAGCAAACAGGAUUAGAUACCCUGGUAGUCCACGCCCUAAACGAUGACAAUUAGCUGUUGGGAUACUAGAUGUCUUAGUAGCGAAGUAACGCGUGAAAUUGUCCGCCUGGGGAGUACGGUCGCAAGAUUA